rnacentral:rRNA from 1 species
CUCGUAGACUCCUACGGGAGGCAGCAGUGGGGAAUAUUGCACAAUGGGCGCAAGCCUGAUGCAGCCAUGCCGCGUGUAUGAAGAAGGCCUUCGGGUUGUAAAGUACUUUCAGCAGUGAGGAAGGUGGGUAUGUUAAUAGCAUACUCAUUUGACGUUAGCUGCAGAAGAAGCACCGGCUAACUCCGUGCCAGCAGCCGCGGUAAUACGGAGGGUGCGAGCGUUAAUCGGAAUUACUGGGCGUAAAGCGCAUGCAGGUGGUUGGUCACGUCUGCUGUGGAAACGCAACGCUUAACGUUGCGCGUGCAGUGGGUACGGGCUGACUAGAGUGCAGUAGGGGAGUCUGGAAUUCCUGGUGUAGCGGUGAAAUGCGCAGAUAUCAGGAGGAACACCGGUGGCGAAGGCGGGACUCUGGGCUGUAACUGACACUGAGGAGCGAAAGCAUGGGGAGCGAACAGGAUUAGAUACCCUGGUAG